rnacentral:rRNA from 1 species
GACGAACGCUGGCGGCGUGCUUAACACAUGCAAGUCGAACGGAAAGGCCCUGCUUGCAGGGUACUCGAGUGGCGAACGGGUGAGUAACACGUGGGUGAUCUGCCCUGCACUUCGGGAUAAGCCUGGGAAACUGGGUCUAAUACCGGAUAGGAGCCAUUUUUAGAGUGAUGGUUGGAAAGUUUUUUCGGUGUAGGAUGAGCUCGCGGCCUAUCAGCUUGUUGGUGGGGUAAUGGCCUACCAAGGCGGCGACGGGUAGCCGGCCUGAGAGGGUGGACGGCCACAUUGGGACCGAGAUACGGCCCAGACUCCUACGGGAGGAAGCAGUGGGGAAUAUUGCACAAUGGGCGCAAGCCUGAUGCAGCGACGCCGCGGGGGGGAUGACGGCCUUCGGGCUGUAAACUCCUUUCGCUAGGGACGAAGCUUUUUGUGACGGUACCUAGAUAAGAAGCACCGGCUAACUACGUG